rnacentral:rRNA from 1 species
UACAGAGGUCUCAAGCGUUGUUCGGAUUCAUUGGGCGUAAAGGGCGCGUAGGCUGCUGGGCAAGUCGGGUGUGAAAUCUCAGAGCUCAACUCUGAAACUGCACUCGAUACUGCUUUGCUCGAGGACUGGAGAGGAGAUUGGAAUUCACGGUGUAGCAGUGAAAUGCGUAGAUAUCGUGAGGAAGACCAGUGGCGAAGGCGGAUCUCUGGACAGUUCCUGACGCUGAGACACGAAGGCCAGGGGAGCAAACGGG